AUGGGAUUGUGGCACUCCACUCGCCGCCAAUGCGGAAGGAUGCCGCCGAAAAGAAGGGAACGUUGCUUCGCUCUGCUGGAUGCGUCGGAUCUCGUAUAACAAGCGAGCUUUUUACCAUUAAAUUAAAACAUGUGGUCGCAAAAUGCUAUCCAGCUCUCUUGUUGCGUAGCAAUAGAAGCCUGCUCAUGCUGCUUUGGCGGCGCUUUUUCGCCUUCUCUUUGCUCUGGAUAGGAGCGCUAAUGGACACGGGGAGCGAGCAGGCGAAGCGUGUCGUUCGUAAUGAACAGAAAGAGACCACUACUUCGCCUCUUUGUUGGAGCGCCGACGCGAACACAGUGGUAUCUGACCAGGACCAGAAACAGAUUCGAAUUUGGAUCUUGACAUGUUGGUGGUUUUUAACCGUGGGCAUCAUGCCAGGAAGUUGGUGGGCUCAUCAUGAAUUAGGUCGGGGUGGCUGGUGGUUUCGGGAUCCCGUAGAAAAUGCUUCUUUUAUGCCUUGGGUAUUAGCCACAGCUCGUAUUCAUUCCAUAAUUCUACCCCUUCUUUAUUCUUGGAUCUCGUUUCUUAAUAUUGUUACUCUUCCAUGCUGUGUCUCAGGAACCUUUUCAAUACGGUCCGGAUUGCUAGCUUCUGUUCAUAGUUUUGCUACAGAUGAUACACGAGGAAUCUUUUUAUGGAGGUUCUUCCUUCUAAUGACCGGCAUAUCUAUGAUUCUUUUCCCCCAGAUGAAGCAGCAGGCAUCAGUCCGUAGAACUUAUAAAAAAGAGAUGGUUGUGGCGCGAAGUACUCUUGUGCACCUCCGUCACUUGGCUCGCGCGCAACCCCGCCCCGUUAUGUUAUGGAAGAAUUUA